rnacentral:rRNA from 1 species
UAGGGAAUCUUCUGCAAUGGACGAAAGUCUGACCGAGCAACGCCGCGUGAGUGAAGAAGGUUUUCGGAUCGUAAAACUCUGUUGUUAGAGAAGAACAAGGACGUUAGUAACUGAACGUCCCCUGACGGUAUCUAACCAGAAAGCCACGGCUAACUACGUGCCAGCAGCCGCGGUAAUACGUAGGUGGCAAGCGUUGUCCGGAUUUAUUGGGCGUAAAGCGAGCGCAGGCGGUUUCUUAAGUCUGAUGUGAAAGCCCCCGGCUCAACCGAGGAGGGUCAUUGGAAACUGGGAGACUUGAGUGCAGAAGAGGAGAGAGGAAUUCCAUGUGUAGCGAUGAAAUGCGUAGAUAUAUGGAGGAACACCAGUGGCGAAGGCGGCUCUCUGGUAUGUAACUGACGCUGAGGCUCGAAAGCGUGGGGAGCAAACAGG